UACGUAGGGUCCGAGCGUUGUCCGGAAUUACUGGGCGUAAAGAGCUCGUAGGUGGUUUGUCGCGUUGUUCGUGAAAACUCACAGCUCAACUGUGGGCGUGCGGGCGAUACGGGCAGACUUGAGUACUGCAGGGGGAGACUGGAAUUCCUGGUGUAGCGGUGGAAUGCGCAGAUAUCAGGAGGAACACCGGUGGCGAAGGCGGGUCUCUGGGCAGUAACUGACGCUGAGGAGCGAAAAGCGUGGGGAGCGAACAGG
rnacentral:rRNA from 1 species